rnacentral:rRNA from 1 species
UACGUAGGGGGCAAGCGUUGUCCGGAUUUAUUGGGCGUAAAGAGCGUGUAGGCGGCCUGACAGGUCUGCUGUGAAAACUCGAGGCUCAACCUCGAGAUGUCGGCGGAAACCGUCUGGCUAGAGUCCGGAAGAGGAGAGUGGAAUUCCUGGUGUAGCGGUGAAAUGCGCAGAUAUCAGGAAGAACACCUAUGGCGAAGGCAGCUCUCUGGGACGGUACUG